CAGAGUUCAUGCCCUUACGGGUAGAUCUCCCACCCUUGAAUAUUAUACCUUAGUUGCUUUGGCAGGCCGGGGCAGCCCCCGGGGCUUCGGCCUUGGUGUGCCUGCCAGAAGAAAUAAACUCUGUUUUUAGUGAUGUCUGAGUACUAUAUAAUAGUUA
rnacentral:misc_RNA from 1 species